UACGUAGGUGACAAGCGUUGUCCGGAUUUACUGGGCGUAAAGAGCGCGCAGGCGGUCGUUCAAGUCGAGUGUGAAAGCCCCCGGCUCAACUGGGGAGGGUCACGCGAUACUGAUCGACUCGAAGGCAGGAGAGGGUAGUGGAAUUCCCGGUGUAGUGGUGAAAUGCGUAGAUAUCGGGAGGAACACCAGUGGCGAAGGCGGCAUCCUGGACCAACACUGACACUGAGGAGCGAAAGCCAGGGGAGCAAACGGG
rnacentral:rRNA from 1 species